GUGCUUGCUUUAGCCGCACAUACACUAAAAUUGGAAUGAUACAGAAAAGAUCAGCAUGGCCCCUGUGCAAGGAUGACAGGCAAAUUUGUGAAGUAUAUCUUUUUUUU